CCUACGGGAGGCAGCAGUGAGGAAUAUUGGUCAAUGGACGAGAGUCUGAACCAGCCAAGUAGCGUGAAGGAUGACUGCCCUAUGGGUUGUAAACUUCUUUUAUAUGGGAAUAAAAUGUUCCACGUGUGGGAUUUUGUAUGUACCAUAUGAAUAAGGAUCGGCUAACUCCGUGCCAGCAGCCGCGGUAAUACGGAGGAUCCGAGCGUUAUCCGGAUUUAUUGGGUUUAAAGGGAGCGUAGGUGGAUUGUUAAGUCAGUUGUGAAAGUUUGCGGCUCAACCGUAAAAUUGCAGUUGAAACUGGCAGUCUUGAGUACAGUAGAGGUGGGCGGAAUUCGUGGUGUAGCGGUGAAAUGCUUAGAUAUCACGAAGAACUCCGAUUGCGAAGGCAGCUCACUGGACUGCAACUGACGCUCAUGCACGAAAGUGUGGGUAUCGAACAGGAUUAGUACCCGAGUAGUC
rnacentral:rRNA from 1 species